rnacentral:tRNA from 1 species
GCCGAUGUAGCUCAGCUGGUAGAGCAGCUGCUUCGUAAGCAGCGGGUCGGAGGUUCGAAUCCUCUCAUCGGCU